rnacentral:rRNA from 1 species
GACAGAGGGUGCUAGCGUUGUUCGGAAUCAUUGGGCGUAAAGCGCACGUAGGCGGUUCUGCAAGUCAGGUGUGAAAGCCCGGGGCUCAACUCCGGACGUGCAUCUGAAACUGCAGAACUGGAGUCCCGGAGAGGGUGGUGGAAUUCCUGGUGUAGAGGUGAAAUUCGUAGAUAUCAGGAGGAACACCCGUGGCGAAGGCGGCCACCUGGACGGAGACUGACGCUGAGGUGCGAAAGCGUGGGUAGCAAACAGG